rnacentral:rRNA from 1 species
AUACGGCCCAUAUUCCUACGGGAAGCAGCAGUGAGGAAUUUUUCACAAUGGACGAAAGUCUGAUGGAGCAAUACCAUGUGAACGAUGAAGGUCUUCUGAUUGUAAAGUUCUUUUAUUUAGGAAAAAAAGCUUGAGAGGAAAUGAUUAAGCCUUGAUAGUACUAAAUGAAUAAGUGACAGCUAACUAUGUGCCAGCAGCUGCGGUAAAACAUAGGUCACGAGCAUUAUCCGGAUUUAUUGGGCGUAAAGGAAGCGUAGGCGGACAAAUUGAUCUAUUGUUAAAGGCACUUGCUCAACGAGUUGUUUGUGAUAGAUAUCGUUUGUCUAGAAUUAGUUAGGAGAUACUGGAAUUCAAUGUGUAGCGGUGGAAUGCGUAGAUAUAUUGAGGAACACCAGAGGCUAAGGCGAGUAUCUAGGACAUAAUUGACGCUGAGGCUUGAAAGCGUGGGGAGCAAAUGGGAUUAGAUACCCCAGUAGUCCACGCCGUAAACGAUGGGUAUUAGGUAUUUGGUUUAGGACUGAGUGCUGUAGCUAACGCGUUAAAUACCCCGCCUGGGUAGUAUAUAUGCAAA